rnacentral:rRNA from 1 species
GACGAACGCUGGCGGCGUGCUUAACACAUGCAAGUCGGACGGAAAGGCCCUGCUUUUGUGGGGUGCUCGAGUGGCGAACGGGUGAGUAACACGUGAGUAACCUGCCCUUGACUUUGGGAUAACUUCAGGAAACUGGGGCUAAUACCGGAUAGGAGCUCCUGCUGCAUGGUGGGGGUUGGAAAGUUUCGGCGGGUGGGGAUGGACUCGCGGCUUAUCAGCUUGUUGGUGGGGUAGUGGCUUACCAAGGCUUUGACGGGUAGCCGGCCUGAGAGGGUGACCGGCCACAUUGGGACUGAGAUACGGCCCAGACUCCUACGGGAGGCAGCAGUGGGGAAUAUUGCACAAUGGGCGGAAGCCUGAUGCAGCAACGCCGCGUGCGGGAUGACGGCCUUCGGGUUGUAAACCGCUUUCGCCUGUGACGAAGCGUGAGUGACGGUAAUGGGUAAAGAAGCACCGGCUAACUACGUG